rnacentral:rRNA from 1 species
AGAGUUUGAUCCUGGCUCAGAAUCAACGCUGGCGGCGCGCCUAACACAUGCAAGUCGAACGAGAAAGUGGAGCAAUCCAUGAGUACAGUGGCGUACGGGUGAGUAACACGUGGGUGAUCUACCUCUUAGUGAGGAAUAACCCUGGGAAACCGGGGCUAAUACCGCAUAAGCCUGAGAAGGGAAAGCAGCAAUGCGCUGAGAGAGGAGCCCGCGGCCGAUUAGCUAGUUGGUGAGGUAAGAGCCCACCAAGGCAGAGAUCGGUAGCCGGCCUGAGAGGGCACACGGCCACACUGGCACUGAAACACGGGCCAGACUCCUACGGGAGGCAGCAGUGGGGAAUCUUGCACAAUGGGGGAAACCCUGAUGCAGCGACGCCGCGUGAGCGAUGAAGCCCUUCGGGGUGUAAAGCUCUUUCGUCAGGGAAGAUCAUGACGGUACCUGGAGAAGCAGCUGCGGCUAACUACGUGCCAGCAGCCGCGGUAAUACGUAGGCAGCAAGCGUUGUUCGGAGUUACUGGGCGUAAAGGGUGUGUAGGCGGUUCUUUAAGUUUGGUGUGAAAUCUCCCGGCUCAACCGGGAGGGUGCGCCGAAUACUGAGGGACUAGAGUGUGGGAGAGGAAAGUGGAAUUCCUGGUGUAGCGGUGAAAUGCGUAGAUAUCAGGAGGAACACCGGUGGUGUAGACGGCUUUCUGGACCAUAACUGACGCUGAGACACGAAAGCGUGGGUAGCAAACAGGAUUAGAUACCCUAGUAGUCC